rnacentral:misc_RNA from 1 species
AACUUUCAGCAAUGGAUCUCUUGGCUCUCGCAUCGAUGAAGAACGCAGCGAAAUGCGAUACGUAAUGUGAAUUGCAGAAUUCAGUGCAUCAUCGAAUCUUUGAACGCACAUUGCACUCUCUGGUAUUCCGGAGAGUAUGCUUGUUUGAGUAUCUGUAAACAUCUCAAAUCUCUCGGCUGUCGAGUUUGAGAGAAUUGGAAUUGAGCAAUCACAACUCCUUCGUCAGCAAGAGGAGGGUUGCUUGAGAUGCAGGUGCAUCUUGGUAUUCUUCUGAGCUAAAAGCUUAUUUAUUUAGUCCCGUCAUACGGAUUAUUAUUCUUGCUUCAGCUUACAUAAAGGUUGAAUGACUACCGAGGCUGAUUGCAGGUAAUCUCGUUCCGUCAAAAAGAACUUGUGAUCUCGAUCUCAAAUCAAGUAAGACUACCCGCUGAACUUAAGCAUAUCAAUAAGCGGAGGCU